rnacentral:misc_RNA from 1 species
AAGAAUGAAGGGCUUGGCCAAAUGAAUCUUCAAUUAUCAUCCCAAACCAUAGUUGGGUGACAAGAAGGUAGACGUUAGGCGCCAAAUGUUGGGAGGAAAGGAGGGAGGCAACAUGCAAGCUUGAUUGGCUUCUAAAGUCAUUGAUCUGAGAGCAAAGAUCGACAUUCCCAACCUUGAUUAGCUUCAAUUUCAUUUUCUUCAUCAGGGACAGGGAGAGAAGAAUGAAGGGCUUGGCCAAAUGAAUCUCCGAUUAUAUCCCAAAUCGAAUUGAUCAGUGGGAGCCGACCAAUGAAAAACAUGAUGAUUUUGCAUAAAAAAUGUGUUGGAUCAGUUUUAUUUUAGCGUUCAGUGUGAGAACUGUGGAGGGCAGAAUAGACGGGAGAGAAGAGAGCAUCGUCAAAG